rnacentral:rRNA from 1 species
CAAUUGGAGGGCAAGUCUAGGUGCCAGCAGCCGCGGUAAUUCCAGCUCCAAUAGCAUAUAUUAAAAUUGUUGCAGUUAAAACGUUCGUAGUUGAAUAUUAAAGAAUCCGAUGUUUCAUUUAAACUAGGUUUGGGAAAACCAAAUAUAUUAUAUAUUUUGCUUUGUUCAAAAUAAGGUUUUCUAAUAAAUUAUGUUUUUAUCAGAUAUGACAGAAUCUUUUUUAAAAUCUCUUCAAUAUGCUUUUAUUGCUUUUGAGAGGUUUUGUUACUUUGAGUAAAAUUAAGUGUUCAUAACAGACGGGUAGUCAUGAUUGAGUUCAUUGUGUUUGAAUACUACAGCAUGGAAUAACAAAUAUGAAUAAGCUAAUUAUUUUUUUUUUUCAUAAUUUUUUUUGAUAUUCUUAUUAGCUUAGUUACGAUUAAUAGGAGUAGCUUUGGGGGCAUUCGUAUUCAGAUGUCAGAGGUGAAAUUCUAAGAUUUUCUGGAGACGGACUACUGCGAAAGCAUUUGCCUAAUCUAUUUCCAUUAAUCAAGAACGAAAGUUAAGGGAGUGAAGACGAUCAGAUACCGUCGUAAUCUU